UACGAAGGGUGCAAGCGUUACUCGGAAUUACUGGGCGUAAAGCGUGCGCAGGCGGUUCGUUGUGUCCGUCGUGAAAGCCCCGGGCUUAACCUGGGAACUGCGAUGGAAACUAGCGAGCUGGAGUGUGGCAGAGGGGGGUGGAAUUCCGCGUGUAGCAGUGAAAUGCGUAGAGAUGCGGAGGAACACCGAUGGCGAAGGCAGCCCCCUGGGCUAACACUGACGCUCAGGCACGAAAGCGUGGGGAGCAAACAGG
rnacentral:rRNA from 1 species